rnacentral:rRNA from 1 species
ACAGGCCUUGUGCCGGCGAUGGCUCAUUCAAAUUUCUUCCCUAUCAACUUUCGAUGUUUGGGUAUUGGCCAAACAUGGUGGCAACGGGUAACGGAGGGUUAGGGCUCGACCCCGGAGAAGGAGCCUGAGAAACGGCUACUACAUCCAAGGAAGGCAGCAGGCGCGCAAAUUACCCAAUCCCGACACGGGGAGGUAGUGACAAUAAAUACUGAUACAGGGCUCUUUUGGGUCUUGUAAUCGGAAUGAGUACAAUUUAAAUCCCUUAACGAGGAACAAUUGGAGGGCAAGUCUGGUGCCAGCAGCCGCGGUAAUUCCAGCUCCAAUAGCGUAUAUUAAAGUUGUUGUGGUUAAAAAGCUCGUAGUUGAACCUUGGGCCUGGCUGGCCGGUCCGCCUCACCGCGUGCACUGGUCCGGCCGGGCCUUUCCCUCUGCGGAACCCCAUGCCCUUCACUGGGUGUGGCGGGGAAACAGGACAUUUAC